AUUUUUACGUUUUUCCAUAGACCUGGCAACCCGCGGUGGGAUUACAACUCCUUCCAUCUGUUGAGGAAGUGUGUCGGACGUCGGAAACUAUUCGGAAACCAUGAAGUGAAAACUUUGUAAAGUGAAGAAAGUGGGUUUUGUUCGGGAGCAGAGUGCGCAGCAGCCUCGGCUCGUGCCGUGGAGCCUGUUUUUGUGGCUGGUAGAGUCACGGCUCUGACGCUAGGCGCUACGUUCAGGCUAAUGCCCGCGACACCCGGAGGGUUAGCCGUGUACUGUCAGGCUGUGCGGGAGAAAGUCCGGAUCAGGCCCGAGCCGUCCCCGGCUGUUUCUGGUCAUGUCCGAGCUACCACUGCUCUGACCGGAUGGCGGGAAUACUAACGUGUGUGGAGGACGUGAAGCGGCGGCUGAAAGUGGACGUCCUGCGGGAAGCCGGCCGUCAGUAUCCGCUCACCUGCUUCGUCCUGGUGUCUAUGCUCGCGCUAACGGUGCUGCUCAACAGGUAUAUUCACAUCCUGAUGGUGUUCUGGUCGCUCCUGGCUGGUUUUGCCACUUUCUACUGCUCCCUGGGACCAGAGACUCUCCUUCCCAGCGUCCUGUUCACCGUGAAGCCCAGGAGCAGACGACGGGAGCAGGAACUGUUUCCUCUGGGUCACAGCUGUGCCGUGUGCGGGAAGGUCAAAUGCAAGCGUCACAGGCCGACACUUCUCCUAGAAAACUAUCAGCCAUGGUUGGACCUGAAGGUUCAUUCAAAGGUGGACGCCUCAGUAGCAGAGGUGUUCGAGUUAGUCCUUGAGAACUUUGUGUACCCCUGGUACAGAGACAUCACAGAUGACGAGGCGUGUUUGGAUGAACUGAGGAUGACUUUUCGCUUCUUUGCGUCGGUGCUCGUCCGCCGAGCUCAGAAGGUUGAUAUCCCAGCUGUGUUUGCAGACAAAGUGAUGAAAGCUGCGAUGAAGCACAUUGAAAUUAUUGCAAAAGCCCACCAAAGAGUGAAGACUGUGGACGGCCUGCAGCAGGCAGCUCUAGACGAAUACGGCGCCAACCUCCACGUCGCUCUGCACAGCCGGAGAGACGAGCUGCUGUACCUGAGGAAGCUCACGGAGAUGCUGUUUCCCUAUGUCAUGCCUCCCAAAGCCACAGACUGCAGGUCUCUGGCUCUGCUGCUACGGGAGGUGAUGGCUGGAUCCGUCAUCCUACCAACCAUGGACUUCAUGGCCGACCCUGAUACAGUGAACCUCAUGGUGCUCCAUUUUGUUGAUGAUACUCCACCGGAGCCAGCCACAGAGCCUCCCUCUCCACUGGUUCCAUUUUUACAGAAAUACGAAGAAACGCAUCAAGUCAGAAGCCAGAAGCCGUCUGUGCUGAAGCUGGAGCUGAAAGAGAUCAGGGAGCAGCAGGAUCUCCUCUUUCGAUUCAUGAACUUCCUGAAGCAGGAAGGAGCCGUGCACGUGCUGCAGUUCUGCCUCGCCGUGGAGGAGCUUAACGAUAAGAUCCUUCGUCCCGAGCUGAGCGACUCUGAGCUGCUGCAUUUGCACGGCGAGGUGGUGCACAUGUACGAGACGUACUGCCUCGAGGAGAGCAUCGACAAGAUCAGUUUCGACCCGUUCAUCGUAGAAGAGAUAAGAAAUGUCGCCAAAGGUCCGUACACUGAGGUGGUGAAGCUGCAGCAGAUGCGCUGCCUGUUUGAGGCGUACGAGCAUGUCCUGUCUCUGCUGGAAAGAGUCUUCACGCCCAUAUUCUGUCACAGCGAUGAGUACUUCAGACACCUGCUGAAGGGGGCGGAGUCUCCAGCAAGGAACUCGAAAGUCAGCAGAUGUGCUUCUUAUUCCAGAAGCUUCAGCUGGGAUGAGACCAGAAACACGUCCAAACGAGGGGAGUCGUUCGGUAUCAGAGGAAUUGGCAGUAAAAUCAAAGGUGUGUUCAAGAGCACGACCAUGGAGGGCGCCUUACUGCCGCCCAGUGCCAUGACCGACGUCGACGAAGAUACGGUAGAGGAGGCCACAGUCGUGAUGGAAGACGACUCCCCCGACGAGCCAGCCAUCACACCUGAACCUCAGAGGAACCUUCUGGCCUGGAGCAUCACCAUCCCCUACAUCGAUUUCUACGACGACGACGACAUCAAGAAGGAGCGGAUCCUAGUCUUCUCCAUCCACGUCGAGCGCAACGACAAGAAGAACGCUGAUCAUGAAGCAGACAAGUGGUUGGUGUACAGGAAGUAUAUGGAGUUCUACGUUCUGGAGUCAAAACUCACCGAAUUCCACGGCCCAUUUGAAGAUGCACAGCUUCCAUCCAAAAGAAUCAUCGGACCAAAGAACUACGAGUUCCUCGAAUCUAAAAGGGAAGAAUUUGAGAAAUAUUUGCAGACUCUCCUGCAGCAUCCGGAGCUCAGCAACAGCCAGCUGCUGGUCGACUUCCUGUCUCCUCACGUGGAGCAUCAGUUCCUGGACAGGAUGCUGCCCGAUGUCAACCUGGGAAAAAUCUUCAAGUCUGUUCCUGGAAAGCUGAUAAAGGAGAGAGGACAGAACCUGGAGCGGUUCCUUCAGUCCUUCGUCAACUCAUGCGAGUCUCCCAAACCCAAACCGAGCCGGCCCGAGCUGACCAUCGUCAGCCCCACGGCGGGUAACAAGAAGCUCUUUAGCAACCUGUUCAAGAACAACGCCAACCUGUCGGAGAGGAAGCACAACCCCAACUUCUUCGCAGAGAUGUUCACUGUGGACGGCAUGUACGACUACAUGAUGUAUGUCGGCCGGGUGGUGUUUCGCAUGCCGGACUGGCUGCAUCACAUUCUGUGUGCUGGGAGGAUCUUGUUGAAGAGCACAUUCGAAGCCUACAUGGAUCAGUACAUGCAGUUGAAACUGGAGCAGAUCCUCCAGGAGCACCGCAUGGUCUCCCUCAUCACCCAGCUCCGAGACGCCGUUUUCUGUGAGAGCAGCGAGGAACGAACAGCAGAGGCCAAACAAGCCAGAGCCAAGCAGACGUUUGAGGAGAUGAUGAAGUACCUGCCAGGGGAGAUGUUAUCAGUGCUGACGGGUGUGGAUGGAUGGCUCAACGCCGUGACUGAAGUCAUCUCUUGCAUGAAGUAACAAAGCAUUCCACCUUAAAAGCUGGGGGUAGCUGCUGGUUUACACGUAAAUGAGCAAAAUAAAAGGGCUUUUAAUCAGCUAGUACUCACUGACCUUUAUUCACAGAACAUGGCUGACCUUUUUCUAUUUCCUGUGAUUAAUAAUCAGGCAGUGAUGCCGUCAUAAUGUCUUUACUCAACAUUUUCUUUUGCAAAUUAAAAUCUCUCAUACUACUUUUUUCUUUAAAAAAAUACUUUAUUGUGAAACAUUUGUAUAAAACUCAAACUGACUUAAGUAAGUGAUAAAAUAAGUAAAUAGCAUUUCUGUCAGUGGCUCUGACGUCCUUCCUAAAAUUUCCACAUUGUAUGUUCAUGCUUUUAUAUUAAUUGAAUUUGUGCGAGGAACGAACAGCAGAGGCCAAACAAGCCAGAGCCAAGCAGACGUUUGAGGAGAUGAUGAAGUACCUGCCAGACUUUGUGGUGAAGUGCAUCGGUGAGGAGUCGAAGUACGAAGGUAUCCAGCUGCUGUUUGACAGUUUUCAGCAGCCGCUGCUCAACAA